UGGGGAAUAUUGGACAAUGGGCGCAAGCCUGAUCCAGCAAUGCCGCGUGUGUGAAGAAGGCCUGCGGGUUGUAAAGCACUUUCAGUAGAGAAGAAAAGCCUAGGGUUAAUACCCCUGAGUCUUGACGUAACCUACAGAAGAAGCACCGGCUAACUCCGUGCCAGCAGCCGCGGUAAUACGGAGGGUGCAAGCGUUGUUCGGAAUUACUGGGCGUAAAGGGCGCGUAGGCGGUCUGUUGCGUCAGGUGUGAAAGCCCCGGGCUCAACCUGGGAGGUGCACUUGAUACGGGCGGACUGGAAUCCGGGAGAGGAUGGUGGAAUUCCCAGUGUAGAGGUGAAAUUCGUAGAUAUUGGGAAGAACACCGAUGGCGAAGGCAGCCAUCUGGCCCGGUAUUGACGCUGAGGCGCGAAAGCGUGGGGAGCAAACAGGAUUAGAUACCCCCGUAGUCC
rnacentral:rRNA from 1 species